rnacentral:miRNA from 1 species
ACUUCAGUUUCAUUACCUUUCA